CCUUGGACAGAUUUAACCGAUUUUGUAGCCUGUACAGAACCAGACUCUACUAAUGCGAACAAGAGACGGAUUGUCUGAAUUCCGGAAAUCUGGAGCUCUGGGGGAAGGAGCCCAGUGUAGAAUUUUAUUUACAUGGUCGGUCUGAUUACCCAAUCAAUAUGUUAUAUUUACCUCUGUGAGAGUGAAGACAGAAAUCAAAAUGACGUCAGCUCAUUGUAUAAACCACUGAUGAUUAAUCGACAGCAGCAAUCGCUCUUUUGUACUUUUUAUUUAUAAACAUUUUUUUCUAAGUUAACAAAGAUCUGAACAAUAGCCCACACUAUUUAUCUCUUAUACGCACCAGCUGGAAUGGUCUUCCCUACAAAGUUAAUAUUAAAUAAACCAAUAGGGUCGGAAAGUCUCGUUUACUUUCACUUUCAAUUUACUACUUUCGGGCAGCAGUCGAAAAAUGCCGUUUUGUGCUCAGAUGACAGGGUUUAAAUAAACCCACAGCCUAGAUUCCCUACCGAUGCAAAAAGAGGAAGACUUGGAUUUAGAGAUACAGAUGCUGUUAUAUACAUCAUUUCCUUCAGAAGUAUCAAUGUGUUGGUGGCUGUUAUGAAGAGAAUGGGCCCAUUUAACAACUUCUAGGAUGGGCGGUACAAGGGUUAAUACCAGUGUUCAAUUUCUCAUGGCUUUUAUGAACUUGCACCUAAGUCUCAAGGAUCUAGAUUUAACAGAAGGAUCAAUGCUGAAUUUUCCUCUGAAAGAAUCUCAAUGGAUACAAGGAACAUAACACUGGUCACUGGAUUUAACUCAAAAAAUAAUAAUAGUCGUUAUCUGACAGCAACUACAUUGUACAAAAUUUGUCACACAGCAAAGGCUGUCACUUGUGUAGCACAAAAUGGUGCUCUGCCUCUGGAGUAUUUUUCUGAAUUCAAUCUUGGAUCAACCUUUGAUGCCGACAUUGUCGAUUACUGAGGUUUAUUGGAGAUGUUGAAGCCAGAUGAUGUACUAUUUUGAUAUAUACUUUAACCAGGAGUGACAUUGAACAUAACCAGAUUUUCUUUUAUCAAAAUGUCAUUUCAUUAAAGAUGAAGCACAGCUUUGUUACAAGAUCAGGAGAAGUCAAAUUCAAGUGGAGUGUGCAAAUAAAAGAAUGAAAAACAUCUAUAUUUUAAAUCAUAUACCUUCACAAUACAGACAUAUAUUUCUGUCCACUAAGAUUUUUCAAUCCUGUGUGGCUCUUAUACAUUUGCUAAUCCUCUAUUGAAGGCUUUUAUAGAUGUUACCUUUAGAGUACCUAGAUACUCUAAAUGCACAACUUCUGACUCCCAUUAUUCUACAAUGUCAAGUUGCAUUAAAUGCAUUCAAGUAAAUGAUAUAACAUAUAUCCGAGUACACUAUGCUAGUGAAAGAAAUUCUCACAGAUUAAUGCACAUCUGUACACUGAUCAUUUGUAGCACAAAUAAAAAUAUGAA